CAGAGCUGCAAAACUCCCACAAACCAUCGCGAAUCUUACCCGUACGGUUGCCUCGGCGCUGGCGGUCCGGAAGGCCCUCGGGCCCCCCGGAUCCUCGGGUCUCCCGCUCGCGGGAGGCUGCCCGCCGGAGUGCCGAAACCAAACUCUUGAUAUUUUAUGUCUCUCUGAGUAAACUUUUAAAUAAGUCA
rnacentral:misc_RNA from 1 species